AGUGAACGCUGGCGGUAGGCCUAACACAUGCAAGUCGAACGGCAGCACAGUAAGAGCUUGCUCUUACGGGUGGCGAGUGGCGGACGGGUGAGGAAUACAUCGGAAUCUACUUUUUCGUGGGGGAUAACGUAGGGAAACUUACGCUAAUACCGCAUACGACCUACGGGUGAAAGCAGGGGAUCUUCGGACCUUGCGCGAUUGAAUGAGCCGAUGUCGGAUUAGCUAGUUGGCGGGGUAAAGGCCCACCAAGGCGACGAUCCGUAGCUGGUCUGAGAGGAGGAUCAGCCACACUGGAACUGAGACACGGUCCAGACUCCUACGGGAGGCAGCAGUGGGGAAUAUUGGACAAUGGGCGGAAGCCUGAUCCAGCCAUACCGCGUGGGUGAAGAAGGCCUUCGGGUUGUAAAGCCCUUUUGUUGGGAAAGAAAAGCAGCAGGUUAAUACGCCGCUGUUCUGACGGUACCCAAAGAAUAAGCACCGGCUAACUUCGUG
rnacentral:rRNA from 1 species